UGUGAUUCACUUGGAGUGAGAAGUUGGUCAGCUCUGGUCUCAGUGCUCAGCUCAGAAACCUCCAAUCUGAGAGAACUGCAUCUGACUGUGAAAACACUGAAUUUGUCCUGGAAUAAACUAGGAGACUCAGAAUUGAAGAGUCUCUGUGCUGGACUGGAGAAUCCUCACAGUAAAGUGGAGAUACUAAGGUUGUAUAAUUGUGGUGUCUCAGAUGAAGGCUGUGCUGCUCUGAUUUCAGCUCUGAGAUCAAACCCCUCACACCUGAGAGAACUGUCUCUGUCCUGUAAUAAACUAGGAGACUCAGGAGUGAAGAGUCUCUCUGCUGUACUGGAGAAUCCUCUCUGUAAACUGGAGACACUGUGGUUGCGUGGUUGUGGUCUAUCAGAUGAAGGCUGUGCUGCUCUGACUUCAGCUCUGAGAUCAAAUCCCUCACACCUGAGAGAACUGGAUCUGUCUGAGAAUAAUGUAGGAGACUCAGGAGUGAAGAGUCUCUCUGCUGUACUGGAGAAUCCUCACUGUAAACUGGAGAUAC